GCAGCAGGCGCGCAAAUUACCCACUCCCGGCACGGGGAGGUAGUGACGAAAAAUAACGAUACGGGACUCAUCCGAGGCCCCGUAAUCGGAAUGAGUAUACUCUAAAUCCUUAUACGAGUAUCAAUUGGAGGGCAAGUCUGGUGCCAGCAGCCGCGGUAAUUCCAGCUCCAAUAGCGUAUAUUAAAGUUGUUGCGGUUAAAAAGCUCGUAGUUGGAUCUGUGUCCCGCGCCGUCGGUUCACCGCCUGUCGGUGUUCAACUGGCGUGUAUGCGGGACGUCCUGCCGGUGGCGGUCCGGUUCCCCGGCGGUACGUAGGGGUCGUCCUUGCCUUGCUUGCGUCGUCCCCGAAGGCCGCCGCGGUGUUUCCGGCCGCCUUUUCGAUCCCGUCGCGGUGCUCUUUACCGAGUGUCGAGGCGGGCCGGCACGUUUACUUUGAACAAAUUAGAGUGCUUUAAGCAGGCCCUGUCCCGCCUGUAUGUUGUGUGCAUGGAAUAAUGGAAUAGGACCUCGGUUCUAUUUUGUUGGUUUUCGGAAUCUGAGGUAAUGAUCAAUGGGGACAGGCGGGGGCAUUCGUAUUGCGACGUUAGAGGUGAAAUUCUUGGAUCGUCGCAAGACGGACCGAAGCGAAAGCAUUUGCCAAGUAUGUUCUCGUCGAUCAAGAACGAAAGUUAGAGGUUCGAAGGCGAUCAGAUACCGCCCUAGUUCUAACCAUAAACUAUGCCUGCCAGCGAUCCGCCGAAGUUCCUCCGAUGACUCGGCGGGCAGCUUCCGGGAAACCAGAGCUUUUGGGUUCCGGGGGAAGUAUGGUUGCAAAGCUGAAACUUAAAGGAAUUGACGGAAGGGCACCACCAGGAGUGGAGCCUGCGGCUUAAUUUGACUCAACACGGGAAAACUCACCAGGCCCGGACACCGGAAGGAUUGACAGAUUGAGAGCUCUUUCUUGAUUCGGUGGGUGGUGGUGCAUGGCCGNUCUUAGUKGGUGGAGCGAUUUGUCUGGUUAAUUCCGAUAACGAACGAGACUCUAGCCUACUAACUAGGCGUACCCGGUAUCCACAAUCGUGCUACCGGCGAUCAAAUUUCUUCUUAGAGGGACAGGCGGCUUCUAGCCGCACGAGACUGAGCAAUAACAGGUCUGUGAUGCCCUUAGAUGUCCUGGGCCGCACGCGCGCUACACUGAAGGAAUCAGCGUGUCUUCCCUGUCCGAAAGGACCGGGUAACCCGCUGAACCUCCUUUGUGCUAGGGAUUGGGGCUUGCAAUUGUUCCCCAUGAACGAGGAAUUCCCAGUAAGCGCGAGUCAUAAGCUCGCGUUGAUUACGUCCCUGCCCUUUGUACACACCGCCCGUCGCUACUACCGAUUGAAUGAUUUAGUGAGGUCUUCGGACUGGUGCGCGGAGGCCGCUCCCGCGGUCUCCGAUGUUGCUGGAAAGAUGACCAAACUUGAUCAUUUAGAGGAAGUAAAAGUCGUAACAAGGUUUCCGUAGGUGAAC
rnacentral:rRNA from 1 species